GUGGGGAAUCUUCCGCAAUGGACGAAAGUCUGACGGAGCAACGCCGCGUGAGUGAAGAAGGUUUUCGGAUCGUAAAGCUCUUUCGUUAGGGACGAACGUGCUCUUUGUGAAUAAUGAGGAGUAAUGACGGUACCUAAAUAAGAAGCCACGGCUAACUACGUGCCAGCAGCCGCGGUAAUACGUAGGUGGCAAGCGUUGUCCGGAAUUAUUGGGCGUAAAGCGCGCGCAGGCGGGAUAUCAAGUCUGUCUUAAAAGUGCGAGGCUCAACCUCGUGAGGGGACAGAAACUGGUAUUCUUGAGUGUCGGAGAGGAAAGUGGAAUUCCAAGUGUAGCGGUGAAAUGCGUAGAUAUUAGGAGGAACACCAGUGGCGAAGGCGACUUUCUGGACUGUAACUGACGCUGAGGCUCGAAAGCCAGGGGAGCGAACGGGAUUAGAUACCCGGGUAGUCC
rnacentral:rRNA from 1 species